UGUCCUCAGAGAACCUGCAUCAUUGCUUGUCCUCCUUAGAUCACUGUGACAGGUGGGGUGGGAAUUCAGACACACUGCCAAGGCAAUAUCUCUGCGUGGUACUCAGGGGAACCCAGGAGAACACCCAGGAAGUCACGGUCGUUGACUUACAGGACAUUUAUAGUAGUCACAGAUAGACUGACACUGUGGCCAGUGAGCCUGCGAGAGGACUGUUUUAGGUAGUGUUUUGAAGUUCGGCAACACUUCCAAUUCUCCUACUGAUGACAAAUAUUCUAUUCGAUUUGAUUGCCUGUACGGAUUUGUCCUUAGCUGGCUGGGGAUUUUGUGGUUUAUUCAACAACACGUCUCCUUUAAUGACCUGUGAUUUUCCUCCAUUUGUCAUGUAUGUUGCGGUAAACUACCCAUCUGUGUUCCUGUGGCUGAAGACAAGGCAAUGACAGAGUAUUAUGCCAUACUCCCGAGGAGGAUGAGCUGGCCAAUCAGCAGUCUAGAGGAGGAUGAGCUGGCCAAUAAGCUGUCUACUUGCCAAGACGAUCAUCAAGGACCUCAGCCACCCGAGCAAAGGACGUUUUGGGAGCGGUUUAUCACAGAGUCUACAGAGAGGGACAGGGGAUGGGGUUCCCUGAACAACUGCUCCUGACCUGUCCUCCUGUCUUUCCCCCUGCUGGAGGUGACCACCCACCCCCUUGCACAAGCCUGCUCCAUCUGUGCCUGCUGACGAGCAGGACUGUGAGGCAGACGACUGUGUGCUCAGAUAGUGAAGUGGAGACAGUCCGAGUCAGAUAACAUCUGGACUUACACCUCCGUGGAAGAUCUUUGUCCAUGCAGCCCAUAAACUAUCAAUUUACUUGAUUCUUGUUUUAGCUCUUGUAAAGAAUCUUUGAGAUUGCUCUUGUAAUUACAUUUUAUUUUUAGAGCCCACAAUGGAAAUAAGUCAGACUUUGUGUUAUCCCUGUCAUGUUUAAAUGUAUGUGCUGUGUGUGUAUAUGUAUUUUUAACUGGCAAAAUGUAAUCUAUCAAUCAA